UUGAUCCUGGCUCAGAUUGAACGCUGGCGGCAUGCUUUACACAUGCAAGUCGAACGGCAGCGGGGAGGAGCUUGCUUCUCUGCCGGCGAGUGGCGAACGGGUGAGUAAUACAUCGGAACGUGUCGAGAAGAGGGGGAUAACCACCCGAAAGGGUGGCUAAUACCGCAUAAAUUCUGAGGAAGAAAGCUGGGGACCUGGGAAUAGGCCUAGCGCUUUUUGAGCGGCCGAUGUCGGAUUAGCUAGUUGGUGAGGUAAAGGCUCACCAAGGCGAAGAUCUGUAGCGGGUCUGAGAGGAUGAUCCGCCACACUGGGACUGAGACACGGCCCAGACUCCUACGGGAGGCAGCAGUGGGGAAUUUUGGACAAUGGGGGCAACCCUGAUCCAGCCAUGCCGCGUGUAUGAAGAAGGCCUUAGGGUUGUAAAGUACUUUUGUUAGGGAAGAAAAGUCAGCUGUGAAUAAUGGCUGAUACUGACGGUACCUAAAGAAUAAGCACCGGCUAACUACGCGCCAGCAGCCGCGGUAAUACGUAGGGUGCGAGCGUUAAUCGGAAUUAUUGGGCGUAAAGCGAGUGUAGACGGUUAUUUAAGCCAGAUGUGAAAUACCCGAGCCUAACUUGGGAGGUGCAUAUGGAACUGGGUAGCUAGAGUGUGUCAGAGGGAGGUAGAACUCCACGUGUAGCAGUGAAAUGCGUAGAGAUGUGGAAGAAUACCGAUGGCGAAGGCAGCCUCCUGGGAUAACACUGACGUUGAGGCUCGAAAGCGUGGGGAGCAAACAGGAUUAGAUAC
rnacentral:rRNA from 1 species